UGGAACUUUUGUCAAUAAGAGAGCACUUCUACUCAGAAUUCUCACAUUUGUGUCAGUUCAGCUGAAAGAGAUGGAGGGACAAAGUGAGACUACGUUGAAACGAAGCCUUCGUUUAGCAAAUAAUGGAUACUACGACUCGAAUGGAGAACCAACAAUCUCAUACCGAGAGACGAGAGUCAGGAGUACGCGAAGAAAACGCUUAAGAAGGGGACUAAUGGAUGGAGACAGUUUGGACAGCUACCAGGAUAAUGAUAUGAUUUUCAAUAUAAAAGAGGAGAUU